rnacentral:tRNA from 1 species
GGCUCCGUAGCUUAAUGGUUGCAGCUUCUGCCUCAAAAGCAGAAGAAUCAGGGAUCAAAUCCAGGUCGGUUCCC